rnacentral:rRNA from 1 species
CAGAGGUGGCAAGCGUUGUUCGGAAUUACUGGGCGUAAAGGGCGCGUAGGCGGCCUUCUAAGUCAGACGUGAAAUCCCCAGGCUUAACUUGGGAACUGCGUCUGAUACUGGAGGGCUCGAGUGCGGGAGAGGGAUGUGGAAUUCCAGGUGUAGCGGUGAAAUGCGUAGAUAUCUGGAGGAACACCGGUGACGAAGGCGGCAUCCUGGACCGACACUGACGCUGAGGCGCGAAAGCUAGGGGAGCAAACGGGAUUAGAUACCCCGGUAGUCCUAGCCCUAAACGAUGAGUGCUUGGUGUGGCGGGUAUCGAUCCCUGCCGUGCCGAAGCUAACGCAUUAAGCACUCCGCCUGGGGAGUACGGUCGCAAGGCUG